AACGACUCUCGACAACGGAUAUCCCGGCUCUCGCAUCGAUGAAGAACGUAGCGAAAUGCGAUACUUGGUGUGAAUUGCAGAAUCCCGUGAACCAUCGAGUCUUUGAACGCAAGUUGCGCCCGAAGCCACUAGGCCGAGGGCACGUCUGCCUGGGUGUCACGCA
rnacentral:rRNA from 1 species